rnacentral:rRNA from 1 species
AUGGCCUCGCGCCCGCCCCUCCGCACCGCCUCCGCCUCCUCCUCGGCCUACUCCACCGACUCCCCCACCGCCGCCGCGGCGNNNNNNNNNNNNNNNNNNNNNNNNNNNNNNNNNNNNNNNNNNNNNNNNNNNNNNNNNNNNNNNNNNNNNNNNNNNNNNNGGCUCCCGUGGCCCCCGCCGGCCGCGCUCCCGGAGGCCCCGCCCCCGCCCUCCCACCCCUGCGAAGUCUCCCGCGCCGACUUCGCGCCCUACCUCGCCCGCGUCGCCGAUCCCUUCGCGCGCUUCGCCGACGUCCGCCUCCACGCGACCGCCGAGCUCGCCCUCGCCGCCUCCGACGACGGCGCCCCGGCCGCCGCCUCCCCGUCCUCCGGCCUCGCCGCAUGCCUCCGCGAGGUCCCCGCGCUCUUCUUCAAGGAGGACUUCGCGCUCGAGGAGGGGGCCACCUUCGAGGCCGCCUGCCCGCUCGCCGAGCCCGCCCUGCAGGAGCGCCUCGGCCAGCACCUGGACGUCGUCGAGGCGCACCUCGUGCAGGAGAUCGCGCGCCGCUCCGAGUCCUUCUACGAGGCCCAGGGCCGGCUCCGCGGCCUCGACGGGGAGAUCGUCGCCGCCGUCGGGAGGAUCCGGGAGCUCAGGGAGGUCGUCCGGGUGCUCACGGGCGACCUCGUCGGGGACGCCCAGCAGGUGCAGGAGCUCAAUGCCACCCGGGGGAACCUCGUCGCGUUGCAGGAGAAGCUCACCAUCAUCCUCUAUGUCAGUCAGGCUCUCGCAGCCCUCAAGCUGCUAGUGCUAGCGGCAGAUUGUGCUGGUGCGCUUGAUGUCAUUGAUGACUUGCAAAAUCUCAUAGACACUGAUGAACUUGCUGGGCUUUAUUGCUUUCGACAUAUUCGUGAUCAGUUGGGAACAUCAUUAGAUUCAGUGAACAGCAUUCUUUCAGCAGAGUUUGUACGGGCUGCUGUUCCUGAUGGAAAAACUGUCGAUGCGAUGGUUUUAUCAACUGUGAAAAGGAAGACUUCUACUCCCCUCAAUGGGACUGAUCAUGAAGUAAACGUUGAUGAGGAGGAUGGCUUCAUCCUCAGAGAUCGUCUUCUCCCCCUCAUUAUUUGCCUGCUGAGAACGGACAAAGUUCCUGCAGUGCUCAGAAUGUACCGGGAUACCCUUAUUACUGUUAUGAAAGCUUCAAUCAAAUCCACAGUUGCUGAGAUGCUUCCAGUCUUGAUUUCCAAACCAAUAGAUUCUGAUUCAGUAACUGGGGACAGAGCUGCCGAUUCUGAUGCUGGAGGCCAGUCUUUAGCAAAUAAACUGCGUAGUCUAUCAUCUGAAGGUUUUGUUCAGCUUUUAUCGGCUAUUUUUAGUAUAGUUCAGGUACAUCUACAGCAAGCAGCUGAAGUUAAAAAAAUAGUUCAGUGGAUCAUGCGAAACCUUGAUGGGAACAUAAGUCCUGAUGACACAAAUCCUGUCGUACAACAUGGUGGCUCAGUUGAUCUUCCCCAAGAGAAAGACUAUGAUGUUACUUCACGGGUCUCUAAUACUGUUACACGCACUCCUACUAAGCUUCCGUUGUUUCAAGGAAAGACAAAUGAUAUGUCCAGUAUAAAUUCAAUAAAAAAUAUUCGAGCUGAUGUGUUGAGAGAAAGCACAGAAGCAGUGUUUGCUGCAUGUGAUGCUGCACAUGGACGAUGGGCUAAGCUGCUAGGUGUUCGUGCUGCUCUACAUCCCAAGUUAAGGCUUCAGGAGUUCCUGAUCAUCUAUAAUAUAACAGAAGAAUUUAUAGCUGCUACAGAAAAGGUUGGAGGCAGGUUAGGUUACAACAUUCGCGGAAUUCUACAGCAACAGUCAAAGCAAUUUGUUGAGUAUCAGCAUAGUGUUCGGAUGGCAAAAAUUAAGGCAGUUCUUGACCAAGAGACAUGGAUCGCUGUUGAUGUUCCUGAAGAGUUCCAAGCGAUUGUUCUGUCACUGUCAUCAACUGACUUUCCUGUUAAUGGCAUGGAGAUGCCUAGCAAUGAUAACAACUCAAAGCUCAGUGAGGAUGGGGUUUCAACAAGUCAAGAAUCAGCACAUUCAACUGAAAAUAAUGUUGAAAAUAGCAAUGGAACAUCAACGACAAGCAAUGAAAACAAGGUUGAAUCCACUUCUCAGACUGAAAAUAGUGUUGCUGGCCAUGUUAGGCCAGUCUCGCAAACCAUUGUGCUUGGAGGUGUUGGCUAUCAUAUGGUGAACUGCGGUCUGAUAUUGUUGAAAAUGCUAUCAGAAUAUGUUGACAUCAGUAAAUGUUUGCCAUCGUUAUCUUUUGAGGUGGUCCAACGUGUUGUUGAGAUAUUAAAGCAUUUCAAUACCAGGACUUGCCAACUGGUUCUUGGCGCAGGUGCCAUGCAGGUAUCUGGUCUGAAAUCAAUUACUUCUAAGCAUUUAGCUUUAGCAAGUCAAAUUAUCAGUUUCAUACAUUCUUUGAUUCCAGAUAUUCGUCGAGUACUUUUCCUGAAAAUACCGGAAGCACGCAAACAUCUGUUGAUGUCUGAACUGGAUAGAGUUACUCAGGACUAUAAGGUUCAUCGAGAUGAAAUUCACACCAAGCUAGUCCAGAUAAUGAGAGAGAGAUUGCUAGCAAAUCUUAGAAAAUUACCGCAAAUCGUGGAAAGUUGGAAUGGACCAGAUGAUAAUGAUUCUCAGCCAAGUCUAUUCGCCAAAGCUGUUACAAAGGAAGUCACUUACUUGCAUCGCAUCCUCUCUCAAAUACUGCUUGAGGUAGAUCUGCAAGCAAUAUUCAGGCAAGUAGUCCAGAUAUUCCAUUCCCAUAUUACAGAAGCAUUUUCGAAGUUGGAAGUCAGUAGUCCUCAGGCAAAGAACAGAUUAUGUCGAGAUGUUCAGCAUAUUCUUGUAUGUAUUCGAAAGUUGCCUGCUCAGAACUUCAGCUCAGAACCUGUUCGAAAUUAUGGUCUUGACGAGUUCUUGGCUGAGAAGUUCGGGACAAAAGUUGACGAGUGA